rnacentral:lncRNA from 1 species
GGGAUAAUCUGUACUGCCCUAGAAUCAUAGCCACCUUGCUACCACAAAAAGAGAGGAUAUCCUUUUAUAAAAUGUGGUAUAGUGCUCAGCAGGCAGAGAAAUGUGUAAAGAGAGACUGGCCUAGUCUCCCAGUCUACAUCUUUCUCCCGUGCUGGAUGCUUCCUGCCCUCAAAAAUCGGACUCCAAGUUCUUCAGUUUUGGAACUCGGACUGGCUCUCUUUGCUGCUCAGCCUGCAGACAGCCUGUUGGGAGACCUUGUGAUCAUGUAAUACAACCCCACCAGCAAAAGAAGACAAUCCAACACAGACACUAUUUCUCUGGUCAAAUAAAUCC